rnacentral:rRNA from 1 species
GAUCAUGGCUCAGAACGAACGCUGGCGGCGCGUUUAAGCAUGCAAGUCGAGCGGCAAGGGCCUUCGGGCCCCUAGAGCGGCGGACGGGUGAGUAACACGUGGACAAUCUGCCCCCCGGCCCGGGAUAGCCCAGGGAAACCUGGAUUAAUACCGGAUGAGACGGGACCCGCGAUGGCGGGACCCGGGAAAGGCGCUGCGGCGCCGCCGGGGGAUGAGUCUGCGUCCCAUUAGCUAGACGGCGGGGUAACGGCCCACCGUGGCGACGAUGGGUAGCCGGCCUGAGAGGGUGGACGGCCACAUUGGAACUGAGACACGGUCCAGACUCCUACGGGAGGCAGCAGCUAAGAAUCUUCCGCAAUGGGCGAAAGCCUGACGGAGCCGACGCCGCGUGAACGAAGAAGGCCGUGAGGUUGUAAAGUUCUUUUCGGGAGGGGGAACAACCGUGGCAGGGAAUGGCCGCGGGAUGACGUGAAUCCCGGAAUAAGCCCCGGCUAACUACGUGCCAGCAGCCGC